AGCAGUCGCCACGGGAAUACGGAGGGAGCUAGCGUUGUUCGGAAUUACUGGGCGUAAAGCGCGCGUAGGCGGUUACUCAAGUCAGAGGUGAAAGCCCGGGGCUCAACCCCGGAACUGCCUUUGAAACUAGGUGACUAGAAUCUUGGAGAGGUCAGUGGAAUUCCAAGUGUAGAGGUGAAAUUCGUAGAUAUUCGGAAGAACACCAGUGGCGAAGGCGACUGACUGGACAAGUAUUGACGCUGAGGUGCGAAAGCGUGGGGAGCAAACAGGAUUAGAUACCCGCGUAGUCCCUGUCUCUUAUAC
rnacentral:rRNA from 1 species